rnacentral:rRNA from 1 species
UACGUAGGGUGCAAGCGUUGUCCGGAAUUAUUGGGCGUAAAGAGCCCGUAGGUGGCCUGUCGCGUCGGCUGUGGAAACUCGGGGCUCAACUCCGAGCUUGCAGUCGAUACGGGCAGGCUAGAGUUCGGCAGGGGAGACUGGAAUUCCUGGUGUAGCGGUGAAAUGCGCAGAUAUCAGGAGGAACACCGGUGGCGAAGGCGGGUCUCUGGGCCGAUACUGACACUGAGGAGCGAAAGCGUGGGGAGCGAACAGG